UACGAAGGGGGCUAGCGUUGCUCGGAAUCACUGGGCGUAAAGGGUGCGUAGGCGGGUCUUUAAGUCAGGGGUGAAAUCCUGGAGCUCAACUCCAGAACUGCCUUUGAUACUGAAGAUCUUGAGUUCGGGAGAGGUGAGUGGAACUGCGAGUGUAGAGGUGAAAUUCGUAGAUAUUCGCAAGAACACCAGUGGCGAAGGCGGCUCACUGGCCCGAUACUGACGCUGAGGUGCGAAAGUGCGGGGAGCAAACAGG
rnacentral:rRNA from 1 species